AUGGGGCUCUACAGGCAGGCGAGCGCCGUGGGGCUGGCUAUGGGGCAGAGCGAGGCCACGUGCGCUGUGGGGCACCGGGCCACGGGGUUCAGCGGCAGCGUGGUUGUUAAUGCCCCCCUCCCCCCCCACCUCGAGCUCCUCCACUCCUGCUCGGGGGGCUCCGUCCACGUCCUCUGCUCGGCCUCGGCCUUCUCCCCUCCCCCGCUGCGCCUCCAUUGGCUCCUGGACUCGGAGCCCUUGGACCCGGCCCCGCCCCUCAUCGAGGCCCCCAAUGGGGACGGGACCUUCCGGGCCAGCGCCCGCCUCAACCUCACCGUGGACCAAUGGCAGGAGAAGACCUUGGUGUGCGCCGCCACCCACCCGGCCACCGGCACCAGCCUCCAGCUGCCCGCCACCAAGUGCUUCAGCACCCCUCCGGACUCGAGCUCCAUCCAAGUCUUCGUCCUGCCCCCGUCCCCAUUGGACCUUUACGUGUCCCAGAGCCCCCGGCUCCGCUGCAUGGCCACCAGUUUACCCAGUGACGAGGGCCUGGAGAUCACCUGGAGCAAGGACCAAGGCCAGACCCUGAGCUCCAACCUCCUCCAAGUCAAGGCCCAGUUCAACGGCACCUUCACGGCCACCAGAGAGGUCCUGGUGUCCACCAGCGACUGGGAGAACGGGGUCACCUUCACCUGCAAGGUCCAGCACAGGGACCUGCCCUCUGACAUCAGCCGCACCAUCGCCAAGAAGCCAGGCAAGCGCUUGACCCCCAGCGUGUACCUGUUCUCCCCUCCUCUGGAGGAGCUGAGCGGCUCCCGGCCCACGCUGAGCUUGACGUGCUUGGUGCGAGGCUUCUACCCAGAGUCCAUCUCGGUGGAGUGGCAGAAGAACCAGGACCCCGUGGAGGGGCGGAGCUUCCAGACGACGGCGGCCAUGAAGGAGAAGACGGGGGACGGCUCCUUCUUCCUGUACAGCCGGCUGGAGGUGACGAGGGAGGAGUGGGGCAAGGGGUCCACGUUCGUGUGCAUGGUGGUGCACGAGGCCCUGCCCAUGAGGUUCAUCCAGCGCAGCGUCAACAGGAGCCCCGGUAAAAGGAAGUGAGGU